rnacentral:tRNA from 1 species
UCCCUGGUGGCCCAGUGGUUAAGACUCCAAGCUCCCAAUUCAGGGGACCCAGGUUCAAUCCCUGGUCAGGGAA